rnacentral:lncRNA from 1 species
CGACAUGCUGGUGAAGAGCACUCAGACUUUAGAUCAUAUUUAAGAUCUGAAAGAAGCUUUCGACACACUUCGACGACAUCGGAUGAGGCUGCAUCUGACCAAAUGUGUCUUCGGGGUGACCUUGGGAAAAUUCCUCGGAUUCUUCAUUUUUCAAUGGGGGAUCGAGGUUAAUCCUGAAAAAAUAAAAGUCAUCAUCAACAUGAGGCACCCGAACACAAAAAAAGAGAUACA